GAAAAAACAGAGAAAGUGAAAAGCAAGCCACAUCACACCAUCACUCUUCAUGGCUAUUGGAAUGGUAGCAUGUCCUCCCAUGGAGCCUGGGAAUUGCAGGCUUCCCCUGCUCCCUGUGGGGAGCUCAGAUUUCAGAAGGAUCUCCAGCCUUCCCCAGACAGACUGCUUCCAGUACCUGGAGCAGAUUAAGCAGAACUGCAGCAGCUUUGAUGGAUUUCAGGCUCUCUGCCUCUGGCUUAAUCUCCACCACUGCUCUCUUCCUUGGAUGAUACCAUGGACAUGGGCUUAUGGAAGAUAUGGCACGAGUCACUACACAUCUGCUGAGCAUUAGUCCUUGAGAAC